AUUGAAUGUGUGUACAUCCGAAAGUCGCUCAUUGGCAAGGUUGGUGCAGCUUGAUGAAUGAUUCGGACUUUGACCAAGAAAGAGUUGGCUCCAUGUAUCUCGAUUGUUGUUAAGUGUUGAUGGGCCGUAUGUUUUUGUUAAUGAACUGUCGCAUUAUGUUGUUAUCUUUUACUUGAUGGGCUUUAUACUUUUGAAUGAACAU